CAGCCGCCGCGGGAAUACGAAGGGUGCAAGCGUUAAUCGGAAUUACUGGGCGUAAAGCGCGCGUAGGUGGUUCAUUAAGUUGGAUGUGAAAGCCCUGGGCUCAACCUGGGAACUGCAUCCAAAACUGGUGAGCUAGAGUAUGGUAGAGGGUGGUGGAAUUUCCUGUGUAGCGGUGAAAUGCGUAGAUAUAGGAAGGAACACCAGUGGCGAAGGCGACCACCUGGACUGAUACUGACACUGAGGUGCGAAAGCGUGGGGAGCAAACAGGAUUAGAUACCCCCGUAGUCCCUGUCUCUUAUAC
rnacentral:rRNA from 1 species